rnacentral:rRNA from 1 species
GAUCCUGGCUCAGGAUGAACGCUAGCGGCAGGCUUAACACAUGCAAGUCGAGGGGCAGCGGGAUGUAGCAAUACAGUUGCCGGCGACCGGCGGAUGGGUGCGUAACGCGUAUGCAACCUACCUUAUACAGGGGAAUAACCUUUCGAAAGGGAGACUAACACCCCAUAGUAUUGAUUUAAGGCAUCUUAGAUUAAUUAAAUAUUUAUAGGUAUAAGAUGGGCAUGCGUAUGAUUAGCUAGUUGGUAAGGUAACGGCUUACCAAGGCGACGAUCAUUAGGGGUUCUGAGAGGAAGGUCCCCCACACUGGUACUGAGACACGGACCAGACUCCUACGGGAGGCAGCAGUGAGGAAUAUUGGUCAAUGGGCGCAAGCCUGAACCAGCCAUGCCGCGUGCAGGAAAGACGGCCUUAUGGGUUGUAAACUGCUUUUACAUAAGACUAACCGUAUAUUUGCGAAUAUACCUGAAUGUAUUAUGAGAAUAAGGAUCGGCUAACUCCGUGCCAGCCGCAGC